CCUACGGGUGGCAGCAGUGAGGCAUAUUGGUCAAUGGACGAGAGUCUGAACCAGCCAAGUAGCGUGAAGGAUGACUGCCCUCUGGGUUGUAAACUUCUUUUAUCAAGGAAUAAAACGAGGCACGUGUGCCUUUUUGCAUGUACUUUAUGAAUAAGGAUCGGCUAACUCCGUGCCAGCAGCCGCGGUAAUACGGAGGAUCCGAGCGUUAUCCGGAAUUAUUGGGUUUAAAGGGAGCGUAGAUGGGUUGUUAAGUCAGUUGUGAAAGGUUGCGGCUCAACCGUAAAAUUGCAAUUGAUACUGGCAGUCUUGAGUACAGUAGAGGUAGGCGGAAUUCGUGGUGUAGCGGUGAAAUGCUUAGAUAGCACGAAGAACCCCGAUUGCGAAGGCAGCUUACUAAACUGUGACUGACAUUGAUGCUCGAAAGUGUGGGUAGCAAACAGGAUUAGAUACCCCAGUAGUC
rnacentral:rRNA from 1 species